UACGUAGGGGGCUAGCGUUGUCCGGAAUAAUUGGGCGUAAAGCGCGUGUAGGCGGUUCGGUAAGUCCGCUGUGAAAGUCGGGGGCUCAACCCUCGGAUGCCGGUGGAUACUGUCGGGCUUGAGUACGGAAGAGGCGAGUGGAAUUCCUGGCGUAGCGGUGAAAUGCGCAGAUAUCAGGAGGAACACCGAUGGCGAAGGCAGCUCGCUGGGACGGUACUGACGCUGAGGCGCGAAAGCGUGGGGAGCAAACAGG
rnacentral:rRNA from 1 species